GAACGAACGUUGGCGGCGUGGAUUAGGCAUGCAAGUCGAACGAAUCCCUGAGGGCCUGCUUUCAGGGGGAAGUGGCGAAAGGGGCAGUAAGGCGUGGGUAACCUACCCUGGGGUCUGGCAUAGCCGUUCUAACGAACGGGUAAUUCCAGAUGACGUGGUAACACCAAAGGUUCACCGCCCUGGGAGGGGCCCACGUGGUAUUAGCUUGUUGGUGAGGUAACGGCUCACCAAGGCCAAGAUGCCUAGCGGGUGUGAGAGCACGACCCGCGCCACUGGCACUGAGACACUGGCCAGACUCCUACGGGAGGCUGCAGUCGAGGAUCUUCGGCAAUGGGCGCAAGCCUGACCGAGCGACGCCGCGUGUGCGAUGAAGGCCUUCGGGUUGUAAAGCACUGUCGAGGGGGAGGAAAGCCGCAAGGUCUGACCUAUCCCUGGAGGAAGCACGGGCUAAGUUCGUGCCAGCAGCCGCGGUAAGACGAACCGUGCGAACGUUGUUCGGAUUCACUGGGCUUAAAGGGCGGUAGGCGGGCGAUCAAGUCAGGGGUGAAAUCCUCCGGCUCAACCGGAGAACAGCCUUUGAUACUGAUUGCCUCGAGGAAGGUAGGGGCAUGUGGAACUUCCGGUGGAGCGGUGAAAUGCGUAGAUAUCGGAAGGAACGCCGGUGGCGAAAGCGACGUGCUGGACCUUUUCUGACGCUGAGGCGCGAAAGCCAGGGGAGCAAACGGGAUUAGAUACCCCGGUAGUCCUGGCCCUAAACGAUGGGUACUAGAUUGUGGACUUGCAUGGGUUCACAGUCGAAGCAAAAGUGAUAAGUACCCCGCCUGGGGAGUAUGGUCGCAAGGCUGAAACUCAAAGGAAUUGACGGGGGCUCACACAAGCGGUGGAGCAUGUGGCUUAAUUCGAGGCUACGCGAAGAACCUUAUCCUGGGCUUGACAUGUCACGAAAGGGGUAAGAAGUCGCGUGCGGAAACGUUACGCCAACGGUAUCCAGUCCGGAACCUACUACAGGUGCUGCAUGGCUGUCGUCAGCUCGUGUCGUGAGAUGUCGGGUUAAGU
rnacentral:rRNA from 1 species